UUGAGUGACAGACUGCACUUAGUCCAAGUCCAGUUUAUCUGGUGCCAAUAGAACAGAAAAAUGGAAUUCUUUACUCUUCAGUAGUUGUUCAUCUAACGGGGAGUGUUAAGGUUAUCAUAGCAGAACUUGCCAGUUUUGGGAGAAUGAGGGAAAUAAACAGCUCCAGAUCAAUUCCAAAUAGGGAACAGGAACAGGGGAGGAGGGUGUUCAGGGGGUUCCUAAGCUGCCUCUGUUUGUCCCCUGUUGCAGCAAUGAGAGCAGAAUCAGCAGCACCCACUUCUUUGCUUUUCAGGGCAGCGGCUCUUUGUGCUACUGCUUUGAUGCUCUUAGGCAAACUUAGAGGGUGACAGCCUAGCCUUGCUCCCCUCCUCUGCUGUAACUGCUUUCUGAGCUGGGGUUUGUGUGCAGCACCAGGGGGGCUCACCAAAUCUAAUUGUAUCUUCUUUUCUCUCCCUUCCCAUGUGCAUCGAUGGAAGCUUCUUGAAGUGCAUGGACAGGAAAGGAGAAAUGUUACAUCAAACAGCCAGGAACAGGUGGAUGGCUCUGGUAAUGGAACAGGAGCUAAUGAUGCCCCUGUGGCUGACUCAGCCCCUGCAGAAGAGGGAGCAGAGGAGGAGGACACUCAAAAUCCAGAGUAUGUAUGCCUCAUGCCCCACCACACACAGAAUUCUGUGCCUUUCUUUCUUUUCUGUGUAGGACAUAGUAAUAGUGCUAUGCCUGAUUUAUCUUUGACGCCUUCCCUACUCUACUCAUUUCCCUCCUUCUCCCAUGUUGCAGGAUGAUCACAUGAUACCAUUUGAAUUUUGGGAGAAAAAAGCAGCCCAAAGCAGAUGUGCAUCUUUGCACAGAGCCUUAGAGACGAGUGUGGGAGUAUGGCAAGGAAUGGGGAUUGGUCACAGGCCAUAGCUCAGUAUUGCAUUUGCUUUUUCUGACAAGCUGUAGUAGUGAUGUUAGAUAUGGAAAUGCUUCCAUUGUAAUUACUGGGGCUUGGCAUCAUGGGGCCAGCAGGCAGCAGCUGGGCAAAUUCCAACAAAAAUUCCCUGCUGGAAUGGUGCCAGCUGGUUGCCUUUCUCCUGGAGCUGGAGCCCUUCUUCCCAAGGUAGACUUGCACACAGGCAGUUGUGGAGGUCAUGCUUUUAUGGCCAGUGCUGGAUGUCACAGGCCCUGAUUUGCUUGCUUCUGUGAUGGAAAUCUUGCAGUUCAAGUUGGGUGCCUGCACAGUAAAAUUCCCAUUCUGCAGAGGAACAGGAAAGUCCUGCUGUAGGGACACUCCAUCAGGAUAAGAAAGAUACAGUUCAUUAGACUGAUUCAAUUUAACCAAGUGUCCUUGACACUAGGGAAGACAAAGAACAUUGGAAUUAUGGUAUAAGGUUUUCAAAGUGGUGUUUUUGGGGUUGGGGGAAAGACACAGGUUUUAAUAAAGCUGGUGUGCUUUGAGCCUUUUGGAAAGGCAAUGUAGGAGACAACUUGAGUGUGAAACUUUUAGGUGUCAGGCCUUAAAUAUGCCACCUAAAGGGCUUCUACGAUUCUAAACCUUAAUUGGGCAUUUUGCCAAUGAAUUUGUAGAUGCUUCAGUUUUGGUUGCUAAGUCUGUAGGUGAACAAAUCCCAGCCCCUGGGUAAUAUAAAACAGGAAUACUUUGUUCCUCCAGUCUCAAGCUUUUCGGUUACUGAAUGUAACUGCUCUGUUUAGUUAAGGCUGAAAUAGCUCAGUGCUGCAGCAUUUAAAAUUGACCAAAGGCUCCUUCCCAGGGCUGGACCUUGCCAGAGCUGUAUUACUCUGUAGUUUAAAACUGGGUCCUGGAAUGAAUAUUCUGGGGUGAAUAAUUCCCAGAGGACAGCUGAUGCUGUAGUUACAAAGCUCUUACUGAUGACCUGCUGGAAGUCAAGGUUGCCAUACACAAACUGGCCAGUGCUAGAGGCUGCUGCUACUUCAAAGCCCAGAGCAGGGUGACUGACUGCACCUUUCUCCUAGUGAAAACUAGGACACCCUUUCCCUCAGGGCAGGGAGACCCCAAAUCCUCAUUAAAUGCAGCAAACAGAGACUUAAAGACAGCAGGGUUCUUCAAAGGAAAUGUGUCAUGGCUAGUCAGUGCAGUUGUAUGAAUAUGUGAGAUUUUAUGUAUCAAUAACCACUGAAGUGUGGUUAUAUUAACAGCUGCAUGUUCUUUCUAGUCCUCUUUCCUCCAGUGCACAGCAAGGAGUUGUUAUUAGGUGUCCAAUUUGCAUGGAAUUUUACUCAGAGGUAAGGAUCCACCUGUUGUUGUCCUGUCUGCUUUGUGGGAGGAGAAAGCCAGAAGGGGGGAGCUGCACAAGUCAGUUGGAUGAUGUGGGAUGCUGUGGGCAGCUGGCUGGAAGCACAGCCCUUGCUGUGAAGCUCCACAAGUCACUUCUUGGUGAAUGCAGAGGCAGAAGCCCUUGCCAAGAUGGCACUGGCAGAUCUGUGGGUCCCUCGUAAUUCUAAUUCUAGAUGCUCAAAAUAGAGCCUGGUGCCAGUUGAGCAGCAAAAUCAAAUUCUCUCCUCCCAAUAAAUGUUGUGGUUUUCUUUCUUCCAGUUUAUUCAAUGUGGACAACAGCUUGUGGCAACCCUGUGUGGCCAUGUCUUCUGCAGCGAGUGCCUCCCUGUUGCCCUGGAGAUUCUCGGCAGGUGCCCAACCUGCAGAAUGGACCUCACUCCAGACCUAUACCAUCCCAUUUAUAUAUGAGGAGUUCUCUUCUCAGGACAGACUGAGAUGGAUCUUGGCCAAUAGGCAGCGCAGAGACUUGUUUCUUUAUGUAUAUAGUUCUUCCUGUAUAUAGUUUCACUUUUGAUAAAUUCAAUUAUAAAAAAAGUUUUCAUUGAUUUAAA